CUGAACCAGGAUGAAAAAAACUUGGGGAACCAGCAGGAUCGGAGUAGUAAUUUUAACAGCAAAAAUUUCUCCCAUGGAAACAGCUGUGGGGCUAUCCCAGCUAGCUGGUUUGUUCUGCAACAAGCUUUUGUCCUUCUGAAAUGAAGAUCAAGUGCUUAAAAAAUUAGCAGGAGGAUAUAGACAAAGUUGUGUAUGAGGACCAACUCCUAAAGAUUUGGAAGCUGCCCUGUCCCCAGGCUCAGGUGGUGACUGAUGUGGCACUGGGAGAGUCUAACAAUGUUUGGGAGCAUGCCCAUCACCAGCAGAAGACCUUGAACAGCACUUGACAUGUCCCAGAGCACAAAGCAGUUCCUGUGUGAACCAGCUAGGAUCUGUCCAUCUGUUUCAUGUCCUGUUUUAAAAACCGUGAAUCAAGGUAAAAUCCAGCCUGGAGGUGACAAGUAUCUAGGUCAUCCUGGCUAUGUCCACAGCUGGCAGGGUGGAGAAGGGAGGGGAGAAGGGUGGCACUUACUGAUGAAUCAGAGCUGAAAGCAGCCCUUUAGAGACACUGGUACAGACUGAAUGUUAUAGAUCAGCUACUACUGACCUAAAACAUUCACCUUGAGGUUCAAAGGAUGACUUCUAAGCCUUGUUACUGCGGUUUUGGGACUAAAAGGGGCCCUGAAAAGCCCCCACAGGCUGAGCCUCAGGAGAAACAGCCUGCAGCUAGUCAGCUACGUGUGUGUGGUACCAAUCAAACUUUUAAAUCUGGAAGCAUCUGCCCCAGCAGUGAUUUGAUUUUAUGCAACGAGUCUCAUGGUACCGUAUUGCUAAGCAUGUCACUAAAUCCUUGCACAUCAAAGGAACGAGUAAAUCAAGCAAAACUGCAUAAGCCACUCUACAUUCAGUUUUGGCAAAAGGUGCUUAGACAACCCUGGAGGCUGCAGUCCCCUAGCUAGCAGCAGAACUCACAUAAAGCCAGAAGCAGUGCAGUUUUUCCUGCACCACCAGGCAAAUGGCUUGCAGCUGAGGUUGGAUUAGGAACUGGCCUGGAGUCAAUUGGUCCAAAGGUCUAGUCCUGAACUUGAUUGUAAUAUUCCAGGUGGAUUGAGACAUUAAACCUAACCUUUUUGUGUUUCUAUUUCUGGGCCCAUAUA